GCGGGCGUGGCGGAACUGGCAGACGCGCGGGAUUUAGGUUCCCGUGGCCUCACGGCCGUGCAGGUUCGACCCCUGUCGCCCGCA
rnacentral:tRNA from 1 species